rnacentral:rRNA from 1 species
CACGUAGGCGGCAAGCGUUAUCCGGAUUCAUUGGGCGUAAAGCGCACGCAGGUGGCUUUUCAAGUCUGACGUGAAAUCUCUCGGCUUAACUGGGAGGGGUCGUUGGAAACUGAUUGGCUUGAGGCAAUGAGAGGGGUGUAGAAUUCCUGGUGUAGUGGUGGAAUGCGUAGAUAUCAGGAGGAAUACCAGUGGCGAAAGCGGCACCCGGGCAUUGGCUUAACGCUCAUGUGCGAAAGCGUGGGGAGCAAACGGG